AAAAAAAAAAAAAAAUAAUAAUAAUAAUAAUAAUAAUAAUAAUCAGAACAAAAACAAUAAGUCUUUCCACAGAAAAGUGGAAAGACUUAAUAAUAAUAUAAAGCAAUUGUUUUGAAAACAAUUGUUAGGCAGUCUUUCCCCUCUGAUGAAUGGAUAAUUGAUUUUUUUUAUUGAUUGAUUUGGAAAAGAAAAGGGGGGGGGGGGGGGUAUUUGUUUGUUUGUUUGUUUUUGUAAAGGGUCUAUAUUAUUAUGUUACCGGAGAAGUUUCAUGUUUAGUUUGGAAAGUUUUUCUUUUAUUUUAGAUACAGCGCGCGCGCAAGAUUGAGGAGACAUCACGUGACGCGGGUUUAUAUUAAGAAAAACUUAGUCUUUUUAUUUCUCUUUAGGUCGGGACGUUAAACAGACAACAUGUAUAGAGAUGGAAUGUACACAAUGUAAUUUCUUUUGUCAUUGUAGGAAAUUGACAUUUUGAUCACAGUUCACAAGCAGUGCAUGUUUUGGAUUUAAUUGAAUCCGGUGUAACUUUAAAACACAUUUAAUGAUUAUUUUUUGAUAAUGUCCAUUUUUCAGCACCUGUUUGUAACACAGAUUAGUAUUUCAAUCUCGGAGCGGACAUUUUAUUGUAGGUUUUUACUGAGAUUGACGGACCUAGCAAGCGAUUUUUACUGCAUUGCCAUUUCUUUUUUCUAGGAAAAGUCUUGAGAGAUAUCUGCAAAAAGUUUUUUUAUGAACCUUCAGUACAUGUAUGCCCUGCUGACUGCAAAUUUUCAGGUCGAUUGGACUUGUAGUUUCAGAGAAUAUGUGGAUUUUUUUUCAGAAGAGACGUAAGAACAAUAAUAAAAUAAAAAUUUUCUUGAAUAAUUGAGAGUUUGUUCCUUCAAUAAACUGUCAUAAAUAAACAGUCAUACAUAUUGAUUGAUUGAUUAGUUGGUUGAUUGAUUGGUUGGUUGGUUGGUUGGUUUGUUGGUUGGUUGAUUAAACACGUUUGAUAGGGUCACUUAGAACAAGGGGAAAAAGACCUCAAGAGACCUUGCAUCCCGUAUUAAACGCAUGACACGGAAACAUACAUUAAGUGAUUGAUUGGUUGGUUGGUUGGUUGGUUGGUUGGUUGGUUAAACACGUUGGUUAAACAUGUUGGUUUAACACGUUGGUUAAACACGUUGGCUGGUUAAACACGUUUGAUGGGCUCAAUUUAAACAAGCGAAAAAAAAACAUCUUGGAUCCCGUAUUUAACACAUGAAACGGAAACAUGCAUUGAUUUAUUGAUUGGUUGGUUGGUUGGUUGGUUGGUUUUUGGUUAAACAUGUUGGUUAAAACACGUUGGCUGGUUAUUGGUUAAACACGUUGGUUAAACACGUUUGAUAGGCUCAAUUUUAAACAAGCGAAAAAAAAAAUCUUGGAUCCCGUAUUUAACACAUGAAACGGAAACAUGCAUUGAUUGAUUGAUUGGUUGGUUGGUUGGUUGGUUGGUUGGUUGGUUGGUUGGUUGGUUAAACACGUUGGUUAAACACGUUGGUUAAACACGUUGGCUGGUUAAACACGUUGAUAGGCUCAAUUUAAACAAGCGAAAAAAAAAACAAAAAAAACAUCUUGGAUCCCGUAUUUAACACAUGAAACGGAAACAUGCAUUGAUUGAUUGAUUGAUUGGUUGGUUGGUUGGUUGGUUAAGUUGGUUAAACACGGUUGGUUAAACAUGUUGGUUAAACACGUUGGUUAAACACGGUUGGUUAAAGGUUAAACACGUUAGAUAGGCUCAAUUUAAACAAGCGAAAAAAAACCAUCUUGGAUCCCGUAUUUAACACAUGAAACGGAAACAUGCAUUGAUUGAUUGAUUGGUUGGUUGGUUGGUUGGUUGGUUGGUUAAAACACGUUGGUUAAACAUGUUGGUUAAACACGUUGGCUGGUUAAACACGUUGGCUGGUUAAACACGUUAGAUAGGCUCAAUUUAAACAAGCGAAAAAAACCAUCUUGGAUCCCGUAUUUAACACAUGAAACGGAAACAUGCAUUGAUUGAUUGAUUGAUUGGUUGGUUGGUUGGUUGGUUGGUUAAACACGUUGGUUAAACAUGUUGGUUAAACACGUUGGUUUAAACACGUUUUAAACCGUUGAUAGGCUCAAUAACAAGCGAAAAAAAACCAUUUGGAUCCCGUAUUUAACACAUGAAACGGAAACAUGCAUUGAUUGAUUGAUUGGUUGGUUGGUUGGUUGGUUGGUUAGGUUGGUUAAACACGUUGGUUAAACACGUUGGUUAAACACUUGGUUAAAACUGGUUAAACACGUUGGAUAGGCUCAAUUUAAACAAGCAAAAAAACAUCUUGGAUCCCGUAUUUAACACAUGAAACGGAAACAUGCAUUGAUUGAUUGAUUGGUUGGUUGGUUGGUUAGUUGGUUAAACACGUUGGUUAAACAUGUUGGUUAAACACGUUGGUUGGUGAAACACGUUGGCUGGUUAAACACGUUGGAUAGGCUCAAUUUAAACAAGCGAAAAAAAACCAUCUUGGAUCCCGUAUUUAACACAUGAAACGGAAACAUGCAUUGAUUGAUUGAUUGGUUGGUUGGUUGGUUGGUUGGUUGGUUGGUUAAACAUGUUGGUUAAACAUAUUGGUUAAACACGUUGGCUGGUUAAACACGUUGGAUAGGCUCAAUUUAAACAAGCGAAAAAAAACACAUCUUCGAUCCCGUAUUUAACACAUGAAACGGAAACAUGCAUUGAUUGGUUGGUUGGUUUGUUAAACACGUUGGUUGAACAUGUUGGUUAAACACGUUGGUUAAACAUAUUGGUUAAAUAUGUUGGUUAAACACGUUUGAUAGGCUCAAUUAAAACAAGCGAAAAAAAAGAGACCUUGAAUCCCGUAUCAAACACAUGAAACGGAAACAUUGAUUGAUUGAUUGAUUGAUUGAUUGAUUGAUUGAUUGGUUGGUUGGUUGGUUGGUUGGUUGGUUAAAUUCAAACACACAUAAAACUGUUUAAAUAGUGCCAAAACCACAUAAUUUGAUGACCUUGACCUUUGACCUUGUGACCUUCGUCAAGGUCAUUGCUCCACAAGGUCAUUGCAAAAGACCCUAUGGGUCAAGGACCUUUUGUUUAAGAGUUUUGCCUAAAUAUGGCUUUUUAAAAAACCAUCGAUGGGAGUUAUGUCCCUUACAUGAUGGUAAAAUCAAUAUAGUCAUAAUGUAAAAAAGUUGCCCCUUGAAGUACUUAACAUUUUUCACUGCUUAAAUUUUCUGUAUCUAUAACCAUUCAAGAAUUAUAGGGAAAUCAAAGACAUAUGAAAAUCUAAAAUAUGACCUUGACCUUUGACCUUGACCUAAUUUUCUAAGUUAGGAAUCAGGGGACUCAAAUAAAAACAUUCCAGGGUUAUACGGUUAACGGUUUAUGAGUUAAAAAAACAUACCGACAAAUUUAUUCCGUAAAGAUAGAUAACUCCUAUAAAAUUUCAUCGAAUCGCUUCGAUCCAAAUUAGCCAAAAUUUUCUGAGGAUGUAACGAACAAUUUGUAAAAAGAAUUUUGUCGCUAUCUUUUUUUGUUACGAAGGAGAUGCACACACAUGAUAAACAGUGAAUAGGGAGAUAACUCUUACAGAGAAAAUUGUUCGUCUUAGCAGGGUGAAAUUUAAAAGCGCAUAAACUAUACGAUACAAUAUGAGAAAUAUCUAAGCGACAUAUUGCGAAACAAACAUUUAUCGCAAGAACAAAAUUUGGCGGAAAAAAAAAAAAAAAAAUAAUAAUAAUAAUAAUAAUAAUAAUAAUAAUCAGAACAAAACAAUAAGUCUUUCCACAGAAAAGUGGAAAGACUUAAUAAAUAUAAAGCAAUUGUUUUGAAAACAAUUGUUAGGCAGUCUUUCCCCUCUGAUGAAUGGAUAAUUGAUUUUUUUUAUUGAUUGAUUUGGAAAAAAAAAGGGGGGGGGGGGGGGGUAUUUGUUUGUUUGUUUGUUUUUGUAAAGGGUCUAUAUUAUUAUGUUACCGGAGAAGUUUCAUGUUUAGUUUGGAAAGUUUUUCUUUUAUUUUAGAUACAGCGCGCGCGCAAGAUUGAGGAGACAUCACGUGACGCGGGUUUAUAAUUAAGAAAAACUUAGUCUUUUUAUUUCUCUUUUAGGUCGGGACGUUGAAACAGACAACAUGUAUAGAGAUGGAAUGUACACAAUGUAAUUUCUUUUGUCAUUGUAGGAAAUUGACAUUUUGAUGAAAGUUCACAAGCAGUGCAUGUUUUGGAUUUAAUUGAAUCCGGUGUAACUUUAAAACACAUUUAAUGAUUAUUUUUUGAUAAUGUCCAUUUUUCAGCACCUGUUUGUAACACAGAUUAGUAUUUCAAUCUCGGAGCGGACAUUUUAUUGUAGGUUUUUACUGAGAUUGACGGACCUAGCAAGCGAUUUUUACUGCAUUGCCAUUUCUUUUUUCUAGGAAAAGUCUUGAGAGAUAUCUGCAAAAAGUUUUUUUAUGAACCUUCAGUACAUGUAUGCCCUGCUGACUGCAAAUUUUCAGGUCGAUUGGACUUGUAGUUUCAGAGAAUAUGUGGAUUUUUUUUCAGAAGAGACGUAAGAACAAUAAUAAAAUAAAAAUUUUCUUGAAUAAUUGAGAGUUUGUUCCUUCAAUAAACUGUCAUAAAUAAACAGUCAUACAUAUUGAUUGAUUGAUUAGUUGGUUGAUUGAUUGGUUGGUUGGUUGGUUGGUUUGUUGGUUGGUUGAUUAAACACGUUUGAUAGGGUCACUUAGAACAAGGGGAAAAAGACCUCAAGAGACCUUGCAUCCCGUAUUAAACGCAUGACACGGAAACAUACAUUAAGUGAUUGAUUGGUUGGUUGGUUGGUUGGUUAAACGUUGGUUAAACACGUUGGUUAAACAUGUUGGUUAAACACGUUGGCUGGUUAAACACGUUUGAUAGGCUCAAUUUAAACAAGCGAAAAAAAACCAUCUUGGAUCCCGUAUUUAACACAUGAAACGGAAACAUGCAUUGAUUGAUUGAUUGAUUGGUUGGUUGGUUGGUUGGUUGGUUGGUUAAACACGUUGGUUAAACAUGUUGGUUAAACACGUUGGCUGGUUAAACACGUUGGAUGGUUAAACACGUUAGAUAGGCUCAAUUUAAACAAGCGAAAAAAAAAAACCAUCUUGGAUCCCGUAUUUAACACAUGAAACGGAAACAUGCAUUGAUUGAUUGAUUGGUUGGUUGGUUGGUUGGUAAGUUGGUUAAACACGUUGGUUAAACACGUUGGUUAAACACGUUGGUUAAAACACGUUGGCUGGUUAAACACGUUAGAUAGGCUCAAUUUAAACAAGCGAAAAAAAACCAUCUUGGAUCCCGUAUUUAACACAUGAAACGGAAACAUGCAUUGAUUGAUUGAUUGGUUGGUUGGUUGGUUGGUUGGUUGGUUAAACACGUUGGUUAAACAUGUUGGUUAAACACGUUGGCUUGGUUAAACACGUUGGCUGGUUAAACACGUUAGAUAGGCUCAAUUUAAACAAGCGAAAAAAAACCAUCUUGGAUCCCGUAUUUAACACAUGAAACGCAAACAUGCAUUGAUUGAUUGAUUGGUUGGUUGGUUGGUUGGUUGGUUGGUUAAACACGUUGGUUAAACACGUUGGUUAAACACGUUGGUUAAACACGUUGGCUGGUUAAACACGUUAGAUAGGCUCAAUUUAAACGAGCGAAAAAAAACCAUCUUGGAUCCCGUAUUUAACACAUGAAACGGAAACAUGCAUUGAUUGAUUGGUUGGUUGGUUGGUUGGUUGGUUGGUUAAACAUGUUGGUUAAACAUGUUGGUUAAACACGUUGGCUGGUUAAACACGUUAGAUAGGCUCAAUUUAAACAAGCGAAAAAAAACCAUCUUGGAUCCCGUAUUUAACACAUGAAACGGAAACAUGCAUUGAUUGAUUGAUUGAUUGAUUGAUUGGUUGGUUGGUUGGUUGGUUGGUUGGUUCGUUGGUUAAACAUGUUGGUUAAACACGUUGUUAAACAUAUUUGUUAAACAUGUUGGUUAAACACGUUUGAUAGGCUCAAUUAAAACAAGCGAAAAAAAAGAGACCUUGAAUCCCGUAUCAAACACAUGAAACGGAAACAUUGAUUGAUUGAUUGAUUGAUUGAUUGAUUGAUUGAUUGAUUGGUUGGUUGGUUGGUUGGUUGGUUGGUUAUUGAAAUUCAAACACACAUAAAACUGUUUAAAUAGUGCCAAAACCACAUAAUUUGAUGACCUUGACCUUUGACCUUGUGACCUUCGUCAAGGUCAUUGCUCCACAAGGUCAUUGCAAAAGACCCUAUGGGUCAAGGACCUUUUGUUUAAGAGUUUUGCCUAAAUAUGGCUUUUUAAAAAACCAUCGAUGGGAGUUAUGUCCCUUACAUGAUGGUAAAAUCAAUAUAGUCAUAAUGUAAAAAAGUUGCCCCUUGAAGUACUUAACAUUUUUCACUGCUUAAAUUUUUUUGUAUCUAUAACCAUUCAAGAAUUAUAGGGAAAUCAAAGACAUAUGAAAAUCUAAAAUAUGACCUUGACCUUUGACCUUGACCUAAUUUUCUAAGUUAGGAAUCAGGGGACUCAAAUAAAAACAUUCCAGGGUUAUACGGUUAACGGUUUAUGAGUUAAAAAAAACAUACCGACAAAUUUAUUCCGUAAAGAUAGAUAACUCCUAUAAAAUUUCAUCGAAUCGCUUCGAUCCAAAUUAGCCAAAAAUUUUCUGAGGAUGUAACGAACAAUUUGUAAAAAGAAUUUUGUCGCUAUCUUUUUUUGUUACGAAGGAGAUGCACACACACAUGAUAAACAGUGAAUAGGGAGAUAACUCUUACAGAGAAAAAAUGGUUCGUCUUAGCAGGGUGAAAUUUAAAAGCGCAUAAACUAUACGAUACAAUAUGAGAAAUAUCUAAGCGACAUAUUGCGAAACAAACAUUUAUCGCAAGAACAAAAUUUGGCGGAAAAAAAAAAAAAAAAAAAAUAAUAAUAAUAAUAAUAAUAAUAAUAAUAAUCAGAACAAAAAACAAUAAGUCUUUCCACAGAAAAGUGGAAAGACUUAAUAAUAAUAUAAAGCAAUUGUUUUGAAAACAAUUGUUAGGCAGUCUUUCCCCUCUGAUGAAUGGAUAAUUGAUUUUUUUAUUGAUUGAUUUGGAAAAAAAAAGGGGGGGGGGGGGGUAUUUGUUUGUUUGUUUUGUUUUUGUAAAGGGUCUAUAUUAUUAUAUGUUACCGGAGAAGUUUCAUGUUUAGUUUGGAAAGUUUUUCUUUUAUUUUAGAUACAGCGCGCGCGCAAGAUUGAGGAGACAUCACGUGACGCGGGUUUAUAUUAAGAAAAACUUAGUCUUUUUAUUUCUCUUUUAGGUCGGGACGUUAAAACAGACAACAUGUAUAGAGAUGGAAUGUACACAAUGUAAUUUCUUUUGUCAUUGUAGGAAAUUGACAUUUUGAUCACAGUUCACAAGCAGUGCAUGUUUUGGAUUUAAUUGAAUCCGGUGUAACUUUAAAACACAUUUAAUGAUUAUUUUUUGAUAAUGUCCAUUUUUCAGCACCUGUUUGUAACACAGAU
rnacentral:lncRNA from 1 species